rnacentral:rRNA from 1 species
UACGUAGGGUGCGAGCGUUUGUCCGGAAUUAUUGGGCGUAAAGGGCUCGUAGGCGGUUUGUCGCGUCGGGAGUGAAAACUCAGGGCUUAACCCUGAGCCUGCUCCCGAUACGGGCAGACUAGAGGUAUGCAGGGGAGAACGGAAUUCCUGGUGUAGCGGUGAAAUGCGCAGAUAUCAGGAGGAACACCGGUGGCGAAGGCGGUUCUCUGGGCAUUACCUGACGCUGAGGAGCGAAAGUGUGGGGAGCGAACAGG